rnacentral:misc_RNA from 1 species
CGAAAUGCGAUAAGUAAUGUGAAUUGCAGAAUUCAGUGAAUCAUCGAAUCUUUGAACGCACCUUGCGCUCCUUGGUAUUCCUUGGAGCAUGUCUGUUUGAGUAUCAUGAAAUCUUCAAAGUAAAUCUUUUGUUAACUCAAUUGGUUUCUACUUUGGUAUUGGAGGUCUUUGCAGCUUCACACCUGCUCCUCUUUGUUCAUUAGCUGGAUCUCAGUGUUAUGCUUGGUUCCACUCGGCGUGAUAAGUUAUCUAUCGCUGAGGACACUGUAAAAGGUGGCCAAGGUAAAUGCAGAUGAACCGCUUCUAAUAGUCCAUUGACUUGGACAAUACUUUUAUGAUCUGAUCUCAAAUCAGGUAGGACUACCCGCUGAACUUAAGC